GACGUAGGGGGCCAGCGUUGCUCGGAAUUACUGGGCGUAAAGGGUUCGUAGGCGGUGUGGCAAGUCGGGAGUGAAAUCUCCAGGCUCAACUUGGAGGCUGCUUCCGAAACUGCCGCGCUAGAGUGCGAGAGAGGCCAGUGGAAUUGCAGGUGUAGCGGUGAAAAUGCGUAGAUAUCUGCAGGAACACCCGUGGCGAAGGCGGCUGGCUGGAUCGCAACUGACGCUGAGGAACGAAAGCUAGGGGAGCAAACAGG
rnacentral:rRNA from 1 species